AACGCGAAGAACCUUACCUGGGCUUGACAUGCAGAUGACCGCUAUAGAGAUAUAGAAUUCUCGCAAGAGACAUUUGCACAGGUGCUGCAUGGCUGUCGUCAGCUCGUGCCGUGAGGUGUUGGGUUAAGUCCCGCAACGAGCGCAACCCUUGUCGUUAGUUGCCAGCAUGUAAUGGUGGGCCCUCUAACGAGACUGCCCGGGUUAACCGGGAGGAAGGUGAGGAUGACGUCAAGUCCGCAUGGCCUUUAUGCCCAGGGCUACACACGUGCUACAAUGGCCGGUACAGAAGGCAGCAAGACCGCAAGGUGGAGCAAAUCCUGAAAAGCCGGCCCCAGUUCGGAUUGGAGUCUGCAACUCGACUCCAUGAAGUUGGAAUUGCUAGUAAUGGCGUGUCAGCAACAACGCCGUGAAUACGUUCCCGGGCCUUGUA
rnacentral:rRNA from 1 species